CAUCUUUAUUUCCUUCAUAAGCACAAACAUUUGCAUGUCUGUAACUCCAGAACCGUUAGAAAUACCUUAAAGCGGCUGUGCAACGGUGUUUCAUGCAUUCUGACUUCUUUACACUGUUAAACGUGCUGUCUUCUCUUGCUUGACAUGGUCAACUUGUCAAAAAAAACGAGUUGGACGUAUGACGUAGUGUUUCUGUGCCCGAUACACUCCCACAGCCAGGGGCGGAGCUACGGGUGGGCCUGGGCAGAUUGACAGCUGGCCCACCACAUCAGAGCCAAGAAAUGUAUUUUUAAUAUUAUUUUAAAUAUGAUUUUGUUAACCUUAAUUCUAAAUUUGAAUUGUAUAAAUUAAAUAAAAACAUUUAAAUUGUUUGUUUAUUAAAAUAAUAUCUAAAUUAAGAAUGUCAUCGCGUGACGUCAGUGACGUUAGGGCCGUAACUUACGCUGCGCGCCAAUAUACUGUAGCUGUCUGUAGAUUCUCUUGUACAUCAUGUAAACCUGGCUAAACAAACAGCUAUCCAUGCGGUAGUUUUAUAAAAAAAACAAGUCUAGACAAUGACGCUGAAGAAACACACACUGAGGCACCUGGAAAGGAAGGUGAAAUACACACAGCAACAUCCAAUGAGUCGAGUGCUCAUGGCAGCAUUUGUGCUUCAGCCUCCACUGAUAUUCUCACUCAGCCGGCGUCCGAAUUAGUAAAUCAAAAUUGUCCACCUCCAGAUCUUAUCCAAAUUUACCUGAAACUCAAACAAAUAUAGAAUCUUAUGAAUAAACUAUGCAUGAAUAUACCAUUUACAUUGAGUCAUUUCACGAGUUCACCUGAGCAGAUAAUGAAGAUAGCAGGGGUAGUAAAAAGUAUGCGUGUUUGGCGUGCUGUACUCCAUCCGAACCCGGAACGCUCCCGCCCCCCAAUAGGGGCGAGUGCGCCGAGCUCGGAAACGGCCAAACCCAGAACUCACCCCCAGAAGUGCAAGAAUAUAAAUUGGACAGCAGCCAGGUAGCGCAUACCCCCCAAAAACGCUGAAAAAGGCUUCCUGGAUGGUGGCUUGCGGUCGCCAUGGACCUGUGGGUCGUGCAGGCCCUGAUGAAGCAGAUGUUGUCGUGGCCGCUGGAUGUAGAUUUCCGAGGGGGGUUCUUCUGUGAUCGUGAAUCGGGAUCCUGAUCCUGGGGAGCAACAGAGCUAGAAGGUUGGCUAGCUUCGGCAGGGUGACUUUUGCCCGUCUGCUGCGGCAGAGCAUGAGUUGGAAGCCCGGGGGUGGUCACUGCGGUGACUCCGGCUUCUAGCAUGGGUGGGGGGGUGGAACACGUUCUGCUGCGGCAGAGAAAAGUUUAAAGCAAUGGGCCCCUGUGGGGGCGGUCGCUGCGGCGAUACUGGCUGCAUAGUGCAUGGUGUCUAUUACGGCUGGACUUGGGUUGGAAGCACGGGCCACUGUGGGGGCGGUCGCUGCGGCAAUACUGGCUUCAUAGUGCAUGGUGUCUAUUACGGCAGAACUUGGGUUGGAAGCACGGGCCCUUGCGGGGGCGGUCGCUGCUGCGAUACUGGCUUCAUGAUGCAUGGUGUCUGCUGCGGCAGAACUUGGGUUGGAAGCAUGGGCCCUUGCGGGGGCGGUCGCUGCUGCGAUACUGGCUUCAUGAUGCAUGGUGUCUGCUGCGGCAAUGCUUGGGUUGGAAGCACGGGCCACUGCGGGGGCGGUCGCUGCGGCAAUACUGGCUUCAUGAUGCAUGGUGUCUGCUGCGGCAGAACUUGGGUUGGAAGCACAGGCCCUUGCGGGGGCGGUCGCUGCUGCGAUACUGGCUUCAUGAUGCAUGGUGUCUGCUGCGGCAAAGCUUGGGUUGGAAGCACGGGGGUGGUCACUGCGGUGACUCCGGCUUCUAGAAUGGGUGGGGGGUGGAACACGUUCUGCUGCGGCAGAGAAAAGUUUAAAGCAAUGGGCCCCUGCGGGGGCAUUCGCUGCGGCGAUGCUAGUUUCGAAGUGCAUGGCGUCUGCUGCGGCAGAGAGAAGUUUAAAGCACAUGCCCCUGCGGGGGUGUUCGCUUUGGCGAUGCGUGGCAUCUGCUGCGGCAGAGCGGGGGUUGGAAGCCUGUGGGCGGUCGCUGCAGUGACGCUGGCUUCUAGCAUGGGGGGGGGUGGAGCACAUUCUGCUGCGGAGAGAAGUAUGAAGCACGGGCCCCUGCGGCGAUACUGGCUUCUGGCAUGGGGGGAGGGAAGACAUUCUGUUGUGGCAGAGUGAGGGAAGAAGCACAAUACUUCAGGGGAAGGGGUAAGGGAGGGAUACUAUCGGAGGGAAGGAAAGACGUUCUGCAGCGGCAGAGUGAGGGAUGAAGCAUGGGCCCUUGCGGGGGCUGUCGCGUGGUGCGAUGCAGGCUUCUGGGGAAGAGGAUGGGAUGAAGUGGCUUACUAUGGGUGGCUUGUGCCGGAGGAAGAGAGACAUGAAUCUGCCCUCAAGAGAAACAAAGAGAACUUCAUCACUGAGCUGAAGCUGUGGAACGGUUACCUG